rnacentral:rRNA from 1 species
AUGGUUAAGUUAGAAAGGGCGCACGGUGAAUGCCUUGGCACUAGGAGCCGAUGAAGGACGGGACUAACACCGAUAUGCUUCGGGGAGCUGUAAGUGAGCUUUGAUCCGGAGAUUUCCGAAUGGGGAAACCCACUGUUCGUAAUGGAACAGUAUCUUUAUCUGAAUACAUAGGAUAUUGAAGGCAGACCCGGGGAACUGAAACAUCUAAGUACCCGGAGGAAGAGAAAGCAAAUGCGAUUUCCUGAGUAGCGGCGAGCGAAACGGAAUUAGCCCAAACCAAGAGGCUUGCCUCUUGGGGUUGUAGGACACUCUAUACGGAGUUACAAAGGAACGAAGUAAAUGAAGCGACCUGGAAAGGUCCGUCGAAGAAGGUAACAACCCUGUAGUUGAAACUUCGUUCCCUCUUGAGUGGAUCCUGAGUACGGCGGAACACGUGAAAUUCCGUCGGAAGCUGGGAGGACCAUCUCCCAAGGCUAAAUACUACCUAGUGACCGAUAGUGAACCAGUACCGUGAGGGAAAGGUGAAAAGCACCCCGGAAGGGGAGUGAAAGAGAUCCUGAAACCGUGUGCCUACAAGUAGUCAGAGCCCGUUAAUGGGUGAUGGCGUGCCUUUUGUAGAAUGAACCGGCGAGUUACGAUCCCAUGCAAGGUUAAGCUGAUAAGGCGGAGCCGUAGCGAAAGCGAGUCUGAAUAGGGCGUUUAGUAUGUGGUUGUAGACCCGAAACCAGGUGAUCUACCCAUGUCCAGGGUGAAGUUCAGGUAACACUGAAUGGAGGCCCGAACCCACGCACGUUGAAAAGUGCGGGGAUGAGGUGUGGGUAGCGGAGAAAUUCCAAUCGAACCUGGAGAUAGCUGGUUCUCUCCGAAAUAGCUUUAGGGCUAGCCUCAUGUUGUGAGAGUCUUGGAGGUAGAGCACUGAUUGGACUAGGGGCCCCCAACGGGUUACCGAAUUCAGUCAAACUCCGAAUGCCAAAGACUUAUCCAUGGGAGUCAGACUGCGAGUGAUAAGAUCCGUAGUCAAAAGGGAAACAGCCCAGACCACCAGCUAAGGUCCCCAAGUAUACGUUAAGUGGAAAAGGAUGUGGAGUUGCUUAGACAACCAGGAUGUUGGCUUAGAAGCAGCCACCAUUUAAAGAGUGCGUAAUAGCUCACUGGUCGAGUGACUCUGCGCCGAAAAUGUACCGGGGCUAAACGUAUCACCGAAGCUGUGGAUUGACAUCUUAGAUGUCAGUGGUAGGAGAGCGUUCUAAGUGCUGUGAAGUCAGACCGUAAGGACUGGUGGAGCGCUUAGAAGUGAGAAUGCCGGUAUGAGUAGCGAAAGACAAGUGAGAAUCUUGUCCACCGAAUGCCUAAGGUUUCCUGAGGAAGGCUCGUCCGCUCAGGGUUAGUCGGGACCUAAGCCGAGGCUGAAAAGCGUAGGCGAUGGCCAACAGGUUGAUAUUCCUGUACCACCUCCCCGCCGUUUGAGUAAUGGGGGGACGCAGUAGGAUAGGGUAAGCGCGCUGCUGGAUAUGCGCGUUCAAGCAGUUAGGCUGAUGAGUAGGCAAAUCCGCUCAUCAUAAAGGCUGAGCUGUGAUGACGAGGGAAUUAUAGUACCGAAGUUCCUGAUUCCACACUGCCAAGAAAAGCCUCUAGCGAGGCGGGAGGUGCCCGUACCGCAAACCGACACAGGUAGGCGAGGAGAGAAUCCUAAGGUGAUCGAGAGAACUCUCGUUAAGGAACUCGGCAAAAUGACCCCGUAACUUCGGGAGAAGGGGUGCUCUGGUAGGGUGUAUAGCCCGAGAGAGCCGCAGUGAAUAGGCCCAGGCGACUGUUUAGCAAAAACACAGGUCUCUGCGAAGCCGCAAGGCGAAGUAUAGGGGCUGACGCCUGCCCGGUGCUGGAAGGUUAAGAGGAGGGGUUAUCCUUUGGGAGAAGCUCUGAAUCGAAGCCCCAGUAAACGGCGGCCGUAACUAUAACGGUCCUAAGGUAGCGAAAUUCCUUGUCGGGUAAGUUCCGACCCGCACGAAAGGCGUAACGAUCUGGGCACUGUCUCAACGAGAGACUCGGUGAAAUUAUAGUACCUGUGAAGAUGCAGGUUACCCGCGACAGGACAGAAAGACCCCGUGGAGCUUUACUGUAGCCUGAUAUUGAAUUUUGGUACAGCUUGUACAGGAUAGGUAGGAGCCUGAGAAGCCGGAGCGCUAGCUUCGGUGGAGGCGUCGGUGGGAUACUACCCUGGCUGUAUUGAAAUUCUAACCCGCGGCCCUGAUCGGGCCGGGAGACAGUGUCAGGUGGGCAGUUUGACUGGGGCGGUCGCCUCCUAAAAUGUAACGGAGGCGCCCAAAGGUUCCCCUCAGAAUGGUUGGAAAUCAUUCGUAGAGUGUAAAGGCACAAGGGAGCUUGACUGCGAGACCUACAAGUCGAGCAGGGACGAAAGUCGGGCUUAGUGAUCCGGUGGUUCCGCAUGGAAGGGCCAUCGCUCAACGGAUAAAAGCUACCCCGGGGAUAACAGGCUUAUCUCCCCCAAGAGUCCACAUCGACGGGGAGGUUUGGCACCUCGAUGUCGGCUCAUCGCAUCCUGGGGCUGUAGUCGGUCCCAAGGGUUGGGCUGUUCGCCCAUUAAAGCGGUACGCGAGCUGGGUUCAGAACGUCGUGAGACAGUUCGGUCCCUAUCCGUCGUGGGCGUAGGAAAUUUGAGAGGAGCUGUCCUUAGUACGAGAGGACCGGGAUGGACACACCGCUGGUGUACCAGUUGUCUUGCCAAAGGCAUCGCUGGGUAGCUAUGUGUGGACGGGAUAAGUGCUGAAAGCAUCUAAGCAUGAAGCCCCCCUCAAGAUGAGAUUUCCCAUAGCGCAAGCUAGUAAGAUCCCUGAAAGAUGAUCAGGUUGAUAGGUCAGAGGUGGAAGCGUGGCGACAUGUGUAGCUGACUGAUACUAAUCGAUCGAGGACUUAACCAAA